rnacentral:tRNA from 1 species
GCGCUCGUGGCGGAAUUGGCAUACGCGUUAGACUAAGGAUCUAAUGGGAGUUUUCCCGUGCAGGUUCAAGUCCUGUCGAGCGCA